AUAAUGCUAGAACUCCAGAAGGUUCAGGUUUUUUCGCUCUCUCGCUUCUCCUUAUCAACUUGACAGUGGUGCAGAUAUUUAGCAACUGGAGGGUUUGAUUAGAUAGGCGGCAAAUCUACCCUAAUCCCUCACACCCAAAUCAAAAUCCACAUCAAAACCCAAAAAUCACUACCAAUAGCUUCCAAAACAGAGCCGACCCAGAAGCUGGUCUUCUCAGACGAGUACAAAGCCACCAUCUUUGCUGCAGAACCAAGCUCAGAAGCACAGCCAACAAUGCAAAAAUCUCAGAGGUGAUAGAUGGUGCGAUCUGGAUUUGAUAAUCUGUGUUUCUUUCUUUUGGUAUUGUAUCCAGUGGUCUGCGUGUUGAGUAAUUGGGAGCAUCGCAAAAGCUUGUGUUUUGCGUUUUGAUUGGAUCCAGUUUGUGAUGAGACGAUUGGGUUUAGAACAAGUAGAACAGGUGCCAAUGUCAGAUUCUGCUGAUAAUCUGAGAAAAGAAAACUAAAGCAAAUAGAAAAGGACCUUAGUGAUUCGGCGGAGCAUAAGAAGAGGGCUUUGAGUCUGGCUUUAUUUGGGGCUGCUUACUUACAGACAUUACUCUCUAGUCUUUGCAAAAUCUCAGACACUGCAACAGAAAAGAGAAGAAGGCAAAUCAGUUUGAUCUGCAAUUUCACAAUCCUUGCAAAACCUUGGGCACUGCAAUACAGAAGAGAAGAAGCCAAAUCAAUUUGAUCUCCAAUUUGACACGUGAGAUGCCAUCAAGCUGUACCGCAUCAAUCAAGCUCUGAGAUACAGAGUUUGGGUUGAAAAUGAGUACAAAAUUUGACCAUCUACGGGUACCAGGCAAUCUCACUGUUUUUGCUUCCUUCACUGGUCAAUCUGACCAGGCAUUGAAUCAAAUACCCGGAUUAUUAUCUUUUGAAAUUGCGUUGAGAAAAGCAAGAGAGCUCCAGGCCUAUGUUGACGUGGUUGGUUCCUGUACUGGAAUGGUUCAUUUACAUAUUGUUGGCGUACUUAUUAUGAACGGUGUGAGAUUACUACUACCAAAAGUUGUGCCUUUUGAAGAUUAUUGCUGGUUAGUAUUUUUUUUUUCCAUGCUGGAUUUGUCAAUGUCUAAAUGGAAUGUGAUUCACAAGCAGCUGCUCCAUCUUUUUCGAAUCACUAACAAUUGGCCUCAGCAAAACCACGCACUCUGGAGGAAGCAACUUUUUGGACAUCCUCCAUGACUAGCUAUCAAUAGGCUAACACCGUUUGAGAAUAUACACCUGCUAAUGGACAUCAUACAACUAUUUUUUGCAAACUAUUGCAGCAGCAAUUGUAAUUAGCUUUAAACUGUGACAACCUAUUUUUUGAACACACUACCACAACAUAUGUAUUGGUGGUUAUGUUGCUAGAACAUGAUCUACUUCAUCUUUUGUUGUAAAACAUACAAUCUUUGGUUAAUAUAAUGAUUAUGUCGA